AGCGCAGGCGGGAAGACAAGUUGGAAGUGAAAUCUAUGGGCUCAACCCAUAAACUGCUUUCAAAACUGUUUUUCUUGAGUAGUGCAGAGGUAGGCGGAAUUCCCGGUGUAGCGGUGGAAUGCGUAGAUAUCGGGAGGAACACCAGUGGCGAAGGCGGCCUACUGGGCACCAACUGACGCUGAGGCUCGAAAGUGUGGGUAGCAAACAG
rnacentral:rRNA from 1 species